rnacentral:piRNA from 1 species
GGCGCUGCAGGAGGCGAGCGAGG